AAUUUUUUAUUGAAUUCAAGUGUCUAAACUAGUUAUAUUCAAUAUUUUUUUCGCUGAUCAAAAAAAAAUUGACCAAUACAUAUAUUUGUGUCACUCUUUUGCCAUAAGAUCAUGUUUGGUUCACUUAUAAAUGAUGAGGUUGGACUAAAUAAUGUUGUGCUUGGUAGAACUUUUUUUUUUAUACUUGGAAUAACUAUUUAAGAUGAUUAUAAACCUUAUGGCAAAAGGGAGUUUUGAUAAUUAAUAUAACUUCGAGUUUAUACUCUUCUUUCCAACUUUUAAUAUUCUGUGAGAAUUAACCAUUCUUAAACAUUUAUUUCGGUAUAUUCUUUGUAAAUUCUAGAGAAUGAUCUUACUUUCAGUAUUCUCUUUGAAUUAAUGGAAGAUCAGUACCUUCCUCUUUUACACAUUUCUGCUACAUCAGUAUUGAACUGCAUGAGUAGCUCAAUAAUAAAGUGCAAUAAAUAGAAGAUGCCUUAAUUCACCAAGGUUAAAUUGGAUAUGAGUAUAGCCAUUUUUAUCUCCUAAACCGGCCACUGAUAAUUAUGAUUAACAUUUGAAGGAGGCCUUGAACAGCUACCAGGUGAUGGAAAAAUAUACAGAACAGAACACACUAUCAAUUGCAGAACUUCAUGAUUUCUUAAAAAGUUCGUAUCAAUCCCACAGUUGUAGCUACACCGCACUCUUCUUUUUUACAUGGAACAAUACACUGAGGUCUAUAAACUACUAACAAGGCUCCAUAUGAGAUAUUGCACCCUGUCAUCGCAUUGACCAUUUUGUCAAUCAAUUGGUACAUUUCCAUACCCGGGUUGCCAAAUUCCCUGCUACCUAGCUCUAGUGAGGAGUUUUAUUUCCAAAACCAUGCCCAGGUUGCUCAAGGCCUGUCUUUUGUAGGUGGAAUCAUGCCUUCGCAAGGUAAAGCAAAUUUUCUAUGGUAUGAAAUAUGUUUUAUUUUAGAAGCAUGAACAUAACAACCUUAUAUUGUGAAGUUACUAGAUUCCUAAUUAAUCAGUGUUUUUGUCUUUUCUUUUUGUUUCUUUUUUUGGGAAUACAUUAGAGAUUUUAAUAAAUUAGUAAGAAGAUUUGAUGUUGAUGAGGUUUCUAUUAUAAUUUUUCAGCUUCGGUGCUUACUCUUGUUGAAACUUCCUACACCUCACCUGAUGCCCCACUAAUCAACAAUGGCAACUCCAAUGGAGCUGACCUUGGGCUACCACCGCCGUGCAAAGAGCCAAGUUGUGCUCGAAAGGCAAAGAUCAAAGACGACCCUAUAACAAGUUCAGCCCUGAUGAAACAAACAAACUGAUUGAAGGAGUUCAAAAAUAUGCAAGAAUGUACGGCUGUUGGAUAAAAAUCAAGAAUGAAUAUUUCAAGAAUGAUCCCUGUAAAACA